rnacentral:rRNA from 1 species
UACGUAGGGGGCAAGCGUUGUCCGGAAUCAUUGGGCGUAAAGCGCGCGUAGGCGGCCCUGUAAGUCCGCUGUAAAAGUCAAAGGCUCAACCUUUGAAAGCCGGUGGAUACUGCAGGGCUAGAGUCCGGAAGAGGCGAGUGGAAUUCCUGGUGUAGCGGUGGAAUGCGCGGAUAUCAGGAGGAACACCAAUAGCGAAGGCAGCUCGCUGGGACGGUACUGACGCUAAGGCGCGAAAGCGUGGGGAGCGAACAGG